AGGGGCUAAACAGCUAGCAAAGUCAGCUAGGUAAGAUAACUAGCAGUAAUAUAAGAGACUUGGGACGGACCCCUGCUUGCCACACACUCACUGCCAGAUUGUUCUUCAACCUCAUGCAAGACAUUCCAGCAUUCCUUACCUGCCUGAUCUCCUAUUAUUGACCCUGCCUGCUUCUGACCCGUCUACGUCAUCUGCUUCCCGAAUACACUCACACCCAUGGACCACUCAGCAAUGCCACUGCUAAUGGAGACAACAGGUUGAGUGCUGGAAAUCCCUGGACAUGUAUCCCCUUUUGUAGAAGGCUCCGACAUAGCACUAUAGCAUCUGAUUUGAUGAAGACCAUCAGGCUGCAGUGGUGGUGGUAGCAGGUCAAGGCCUUCUGCGCAGGGAGGAGGUCCAUCGAUGAGAGGUUCCUGUAAUGGUAC